rnacentral:lncRNA from 1 species
CCAACAGGGCCCAUGCACUUGAACUCUGCCUUGUCUCUAUGAGCAGGAACAUUUGGAGCAAAACAUGGUGGAGUUUUACAACUCCUGGAUUCCACCAAGUGAAAGACCUGGAUCUACAAGCACAAACACACUGAGCAUGAUGCCGCCAACGCCACACUUUGAACUGCUGGGCAAACGAAGAACAUGGGUGACACCGUACCAAGAGGUGCAGACGUCAAGGUCCACACCUGAAUCAAAUGACGUACCUAAAGAAUGAACACAGUGAGAAAUCUUGUUCAGAAGACUUAAAAUAUUGAACCCUUGCCGAAAGGUAAAAUCGGUAGUUAUCCAUAUUUAUCCUUUCUACAUUCCCUUUCCCUUUUAAUUAUUUACUUUUCUUAAACGGCUUCUUAGUUAAUCAUGCUAUCUUGAAAAGAAAAUAAAAAUGUUAAAAAUAGUAAGCCCCAUGUGAGUAUGCUCGUGGCAUAAAACCCAUAACUACAUUCACUGUGGUGGCGUAAAAAUAAAAUAAAUAUAUUCCUGUCCUAUAGAAAUGAAAAUAUAAAAAUAAAUUUGUGAUCCUACCAA